CAAAGUAAAGGUGUAAGGCAAAGAAAGGAAAAGGUAAAAAGAUAUUUAUUCAAAAUUGCAAAAACGAUGAAUGAAAAAUUUUUACAGGUUCCUAAUUAAAGUUAAUACGGCGACGCAAGCGACGAGGGACCUGAUCCAGCGGAGAAGCACCGCGGCGGGGACGCCUCCGACGUCGGCCACGGGGAGGAAUAGCAGAAGAAGAGGCAGGCGGAAGAUCGCCACCAGACCAUUCUUCGAAAAUGGACUCCCGAGCAGCAACAGCAACACUCUGCCGCUCAACAAUAAGCUGGCGCAGAGAAGGAAGAUCCAAGGUNNN
rnacentral:lncRNA from 1 species